rnacentral:rRNA from 1 species
AGUGAACGCUGGCGGCAGGCCUAAUACAUGCAAGUCGAACGGCAGCACAGUGGAGCUUGCUCCAUGGGUGGCGAGUGGCGGACGGGUGAGGAAUACAUGGGAAUCUGCCCAGUCGUGGGGGAUAACGUAGGGAAACUUACGCUAAUACCGCAUGCGCCCUUCGGGGGAAAGCCGGGGACCUUCGGGCCUGGCGCGAUUGGAUGAGCCCAUGUUCGAUUAGCUAGUUGGCGGGGUAAAGGCCCACCAAGGCGACGAUCGAUAGCUGGUCUGAGAGGAUGAUCAGCCACACUGGGACUGAGACACGGCCCAGACUCCUACGGGAGGUAGCAGUAGGGAAUAUUGGACAAUGGGCGCAAGCCUGAUCCAGCCAUGCCGCGUGAGUGAAGAAGGCCCUCGGGUUGUAAAGCUCUUCUGUCCGGGAAGAAAAGCAUCGGGCUAAUACCUCGGUGUUCUGACGGUACCGGAAGAAUAAGCACCGGCUAACUUCGUG